rnacentral:rRNA from 1 species
UUGGUUAUGCUAAUAAGAGCGUAUGGUGGAUGCCUUGGCACUAAGAGCCGAUGAAAGACGUGAUAAGCUGCGAAAAGCUUCGGGGAGGAGCAAAUAUCCUGAGAUCCGGAGAUAUCUGAAUGGGGAAACCUACUUGAGAAGACCUCAAGUAUCCACAGCCCAAUCCAUAAGCUGUGGAAGGGAACCCGGUGAACUGAAACAUCUAAGUAGCCGGAGGAAGAGAAAACAACAUGUGAUUCCGUAAGUAGCGGCGAGCGAACGCGGAAGAGCCCAAACCGGAGUGCGUGCACUCCGGGGUUCGGACUGCAGGAUUGACGAGUGAGCCUAGUAGAAUGGUUUUGGGAAAGCCAGCCAGAGAGGGUGAAAGCCCCGUACACGAAAGGCGAGCGAGCAUGGCAGGAUCCAGAGUACCACGAGACACGUGAAACCUUGUGGGAAUGAGCGGGGACCACCCCGUAAGGCUAAAUACUCCUUAGUGACCGAUAGCGCAUAGUACUGUGAAGGAAAGGUGAAAAGGACCCCGGGAGGGGAGUGAAAGAGAACCUGAAACCAUAUGUUUACAAGCUGUGGAACAUCUUUAUAUGAUGAACCGCGUACUUUUUGUAGAACGGUCCGGCGAGUUACGCUGGCUGGCGAGGUUAAGGGCUGAAGGCCUGGAGCCGAAGGGAAACCGAGUCUGAACAGGGCGAAAUAGUCAGUCGGAGUAGACCCGAAACCGGGUGAUCUAUCCAUGUCCAGGUUGAAGUUGCCGUAAAAGGCAAUGGAGGACCGAACCCACAUCCGUUGAAAAGGGUGGGGAUGAGGUGUGGAUAGGGGAGAAAUUCCAAUCGAACCCGGAGAUAGCUGGUUCUCCUCGAAAUAGCUUUAGGGCUAGCCUCAUGCAAGUCUUACGGAGGUAGAGCACUGAAUUCCUAAGGGGGCGUCAAAGCUUACCAAGGGAUAUCAAACUCCGAAUGCCGUGUAGAUGGUGCAUGGGAGUCAGACUAUCCGAGAUAAGUUGGGUAGUCAAAAGGGAAAGAGCCCAGACCUACAGCUAAGGUCCCAAAAUGUGUGUUAAGUGGAAAAGGAUGUGGGAUUUCGAAGACAACUAGGAUGUUGGCUUAGAAGCAGCCAUCCAUUAAAAGAGUGCGUAAUAGCUCACUAGUCGAGAGGUCCUGCGCCGAAAAUGUCCGGGGCUGAAACACACUACCGAAGCUUGGGAAUUGACGAAUGUUAAUUGGUAGAGGAGCAUUCUUAACGGGGCGAAGCUGUACCGGAAGGAGCAGUGGACUGUUAAGAAGAGAGAAUGCCGGAAUGAGUAGCGAGAGGAAGGUGAGAAUCCUUCCGGCCGAAUAUCUAAGGUUUCCAGAGUAAAGCUGAUCUGCUCUGGGUAAGUCGGGGCCUAAGGCGAGGUCGAAAGACGUAGUCGAUGGAUAACAGGUAAAGAUUCCUGUACUGUAUCAUAACAGAACUGUGGGGACGCAGACAGAGAGCAUAAGCCGGGAAUGGAAAGACCGGUACAAGCGAGGUAGGAGUGCAUCAGGCAAAUCCGGUGCACAAUCUGAAGACGUGAUGUGGGGCGUAAAGCCGGAAGUAUGUGAGCUGGCUGCCAAGAAAAGCCGCUAUUGUUUAUGAUAUACCCGUACCGUAAACCGACACAGGUGGAUGAGGAGAGAAUCCUAAGGCCGACGGGAGAAGCAUUGUUAAGGAACUCGGCAAAAUGACUCCGUAACUUCGGGAGAAGGAGUGCCAUGUAAAAGUGGCCGCAGAGAAUUGGCCCAAGCAACUGUUUAGCAAAAACACAGGUCUAUGCAAAACCGAAAGGUGAGGUAUAUGGGCUGACGCCUGCCCGGUGCUGGAAGGUUAAGGGGAGAGGUUAG